CAAGGUGUUAAAUCGUCAGGAUGAGAACCGUAAAGGUUCGAGUCUUGCGAAGCGAGACAACAUCACUCCGGUGGUGGCCCGAAGGGCGAGUUAUCCUACACGACCCACCA
rnacentral:sRNA from 1 species